CCUCGCAUGCCGACAUUCCACCUCUGUAUGUCUGAGCAAUUUUCAACUUGGCAGGAAGGGAGCUGCGCAGAAAUUUGCGUAAGCCUUGAUAAAUAUUUUAUGCAAAUUAAAAUUGAAUUCUUUGCUUAGUUUAAGCAAUUUCCCUGUAAGGAGUGUGUCGAGGAGGGAGAUUACAACAUUUGCCUGGUUUGUUUAUAAUUUAAUUUUUUUUUUAUGUUGCGGCUGGCAGAGGAGGAGAUGGUAACACCUGUGAGUGUUUAUAACGUCCCAUCUCCUUCACAGCUGCUCCUAUUCAAAACACCUCGCCGGCGUAAUAAUUUCAUAAAAUUUCAUGAUUUACCAUCUGCUCGUGCCGGUUUGGGCUUCGGCAAUAAGCUCGUGCGUGGCGCCCGGCCCAGAAAGGUACAAUAACUGUAUAUUUUAACUUAAUGGUUUUUUGGGGGGCAUGCAAAUUUCUGUGAGCAGAUUGUGUUGAGGCCUGGGCUUGGAGCGGCCUCCCUGAGCCCCAGAAGCCCCCCGGAGCACCCCCCGGCUCAGUGAAGGUUGCCCGUGUCGAAAUCGAGAUAUCAAACACCAAGUGCCGAAAGACAGGUUGAAGAACCUGCCAGAAGCGCUCAGUGGCAGAGAUUAAAACAAUUUUAGAAGCCGGAGCCCAGUGCCUCUCGUUGGAUGGACUGGAGGCUUUGUGGCCAUCUGUGUGCCAGGCACUCAGCAUGUCGUGAGAGCAAGUGUUUGUGAUACAUGAUGCACGACAUGGACCCUCAAAGCUGGUACCCGUGUCAGG